UGUAGAGUGUGAGAACUCUUCUCUCUUGCACUCGGCACAGCGUGAGUGACUUUCGAGAGUUCAUCCAACUGUCAAAACUUCCGCUUCGGCCACCGACCGACCGAAUGUUUAUUCUUUUGUGCCGCUCUUCAAAGGAGUUCAAAAAGCGUCCGUACUUUCAUUUUACUUUUUAAAAAAGUGCAUUUCAAGCUGUGAUAUUCGGUCUGUUUCGCUAACAAAAGUUGCUUCCGAGUGCAAAUCUCCAAAACAGCAUGGAAACGCUGUCGGAACAAUCGUCAUCCACCACGGUGGCGGUUUCGGUGCAACAACAGCAGGGCAUCCUACUGGACGACCGGCUGGACCAGAUGACGCACGAUUACUACGACCCGAUGCUGAACCGGUACGACACUGGUCCGGGGGCCGAUCUGGACGACACCCAGCAGCCGGGAGCGUUGGCCGCAUCGGCGGCAGCAGCAGCGGCGGCCAGCAAGUCGAGCGAUUUCGCCCACAGUGACACUCCGGCUGCGGUCCGGAUUCGGCUGAAAAACACCCGGGACCUGACGGAGGAUGGCCUGCGGGAGCUAUGCCGCGUGUACGGAACCGUAAUCAACGUGCACAAGCCCAAACAGGACGCGAGCACCGCGUUUGUGGAGUUUGCCAAUCAAAGCGAAGCGGGAUUGGCCAUUCAGGAGCUGAAUCGCAAGCUGGGGUUCCAGUUCUAUCCGGCAUUCGCUCACGAGAAGAAAACCCUACCGCCGAGGGACAUGAACUUGCCUGCGCCGCCGCCACCGUUCGAAUCCGCCGCCGAAGUGCAGCUGAUCCAGACGAUUGAAGCCAGCGGCGACGAGGAAAGCUGGGAAAUGACGCUGGCACCGCGCCGGAUCAAGACCGGAUUCUCGAUUCCGCUGAAGGUGCGCUUUCCGGAGCAGGGCACGUUGGCCACGGCUCCGUUCUAUGCGAGUAGAAGUUCGCCCCUGUCGCGGAUCGAUACCAAUCAGAUCUUCAGCAUCGUGACUGCGCUGGACAAUGAGCACCGUGGGACGAAGCCGCUAUUCGACACCAACGUUGAGGACCGGAUUGAGAUCCUAUCUAAGCGCGAAGGUGUGAACCGCGUGGAACCCAAAGGCCAAAUCAACGGGAAAUCCACAUUCGGCUUCAGUGGUCUGCCCGCGGAUCAGAGUGCCAUGUUUCCGGAUUCCUUCUGCACGCAGUGUGGCCAGCGGGGAUUCUUCAGCUGCAGUCUCUGUGGGACUCAGUACUGCUCAAAGCACUGCCAGCACGUGGAUUACGAGCGCCACAAAGGACACUGUCAGCCCAAAACGAGCGAAACCGAUGCCAGUCGGUGUUCUACGCCGGGGAGCAAGAAAGGAGGAUUCCAAGACCUGGACGAAGCCUGUCUGGUGCAGGAAGACUUUCCGAAAGGUUCGCACGUUGUGAUUUUGUCGGUGCUGAGCCCGGAACGGGUCUUCGUACGAUCGUUGGACAAGGAAAGCAACAAGGAGUACCUCCAAACGCUGAGCGACAUUGCCAAGGCCGGGUUGUCGGCGGGUAAGCUGACCACUCUGCCAGAACCGGGCGACAUAUGCCUCGCUCUUUAUGAACCGUUGAAGAUCUACGGCCGCGUGCUGAUCGUCAAAGUCACCCGGAAGGAAGCUCUCUGCGUGUUUAUCGAGUUUGGUCUGAUCAACGUAGUUCCCAUCGGCGAACUUCGUCUGCUGACCGACACCGACCUCAAACUACGCAAGGUCCGAAUCCACAAGGUACAUCUCAAGGGCAUCACCGAAGAGUACGGCCACAUCGAAAAGGCCAUGGCCUAUCUGAACACCCUUAUCGAUCAACCGCUGGAAAUGAAGGUCCAACUCGAAGUGGGCAACCUCGUGGACGGUCAACUGCGAACCGCAGCCGGAAUCAGUGUCAACAAGAAAAUCAACGAUCUCAUAACCAUUCCCAUCUGCAAAUCGUCGGACAAUCCAGAUUCGUUCGUCGACUACAAAACCGUACCGCAUAAGACCCUUCCUCCGAACCAAAACCUUGACGUGAUGAUUCUCAACCGGACCACCAUCAAGCUGGACUUCCGGGUUUCGCUCAUCGCCUACGAGGACCUCCCGUACCUGGAGGACCUUCAGCGUAAACUGCAAAGCUACGGCAAGAAGGUGAACCGCUUCAUCGAACACUACACGCCGCGACUGAACGAACUGUGCCUGGUUCGGAACAUGGACACCUGGUAUCGGGCCGUUUGUCUGGAGUCCGUGGGCGAUGGCCGUCCCACUGUCUACCUGUGCGACUACGGCUGUCUUCUGAUGGCCCGACUAGACGACAUUCGGAAAAUUCCACCCUCCCUAGCGACGGAAGUCCGCACCACGGAUGCGCGCGUUUUCGGCGUGGAGGAAGCGGAAAAGGCCGGCGUCAAGAUCGAUUCGGAGUUCCUGGAUAUCUACCUGGAGGAGAACGAGCGCAUGGCGGUCCAGACCAGUGAGGAGGUGGAGUUCAAGGAGUUCGAAUUUGCCCUGUCCAAGGAAGAAACAUCGAUGCUGACGGUGAUCCGGGUGCCGGAUUUGAUCAGCUUCAUCGAGGACCGGGCGCACUGCGUUUAAUCACGCGACGACAAUGACUACUGGUAUCAAACUUUUUACACUUAUAUCGGGACGACGACCCCCUCCAAACAGCAGGAUGUAAAAACACCAUCCCUGGGUACUCCGUGUAGCCUCCGUUUCGAUUGUCGCAAAGGUGGGCGGAAGCGGCUUCUUACCGCAGGACUUACGUGCUACUAUCAAAAUAUCAUUCAUCGAAGCAGGCUGGGAGAGAGCGAGAGAGGGACCAAUACACCGGCAAUCAUAGGAGGCCAGGACAUCCACUCUUUCCACCAAUACAUAGCACCUAAACCAAAAUACGACUUUUUUUCCUGGUUGGGUGUCUCGUUCAUCCUUAUGCGCCUCCGAAAGGCGCCCGAGCAGGACGGCGACAAAUGGCAAAGCAAGAGGGAGUGUGUAUCCAGGAAUAACCCCCUCGUCGUGUCGCGCUCGGUUCAAUAAAGAAGCAGGCGACCAUUGAAAAUUUUCCACUCCUUGCGCCUUGAUCCUUAGCUCUCAGACACAUCGAUUUCCACAAAAAUCCUUUUUCCCACCACACACUGAUUAAUAAUUAGAACAUUUUCCUUUCUGAAACUUAAUCACUUCCGGUCAGAUAGACGGCCCAACACUCCCAAUCUUCGUCUUCUUCUCAUGUACCUAUUACUUCGAUUUAAACUGCCCAACAGGGAAACGCCUCAAUCUA